CAGCCGCCACGGUAAGACAGAGGAUGCAAGCGUUAAUCGGAAUUACUGGGCGUAAAGCGUGCGUAGGUGGUGGUUUAAGUCCGUUGUGAAAGCCCUGGGCUCAACCUGGGAAUUGCAGUGGAUACUGGGUCACUAGAGUGUGGUAGAGGAUAGUGGAAUUUCCGGUGUAGCAGUGAAAUGCGUAGAGAUCGGAAGGAACAUCUGUGGCGAAGGCGACUAUCUGGGCCAACACUGACACUGAGGCACGAAAGCGUGGGGAGCAAACAGGAUUAGAUACCCCAGUAGUCCCUGUCUCUUAUAC
rnacentral:rRNA from 1 species